GGGGAUUUAGCUCAGUGGUAAAGCGCUUGCCUAGCAAGUAUAAGGCCCUGGGUUCAGUUCCCAGCUCCA
rnacentral:tRNA from 1 species